GGUUGUCGCUCUUAAAGUGUUCUAAAACAAUGCACACUGUCUUAUGGCUUGUUGAUAAGCAUGCAGGUUAAAUCCCGGGAUUAGGGGUGUUAAAUUGUUGUAAAAAACAGACUUUUAUAUGCUAAAUGCUGCCCCUAGUACUAAGCUAACCACGAGAAUUAGCUUAAUGGUAACUAGCGGCAGUUAUUACGGUGUUUCCUGGUCUCGUGAGUUUGCGCACGGGCCAAAAACUCCGCUGCUGUGUGGACAUCUUGUGUGCCGCUGUGGUAUUAAUAUGAGUGUGUAUUAUUUCUUUCUUUAUUCUUUAGUGGAGAGAGAUCCUGUUUACUGUGGACUGUGUGUGACGCCCUGUUGUUUUUGUAUCCAUUCAAAAAAAAGCAUCAUCUACUGCCUGGAUUUUUGCCUACAACUGCUCCUGCUGCGUUCGCUUAAUCAACGCAAACAUGAAUAGAAAGACUGUACCUGUCUCUUUAUCAACCUUAAGACAAAGGACACGUGUAGACGUUCAAAAAAGUCUUCAUCAUUGUGUAAUAGGAAGGAGCCUGGAUCCAGCCUGGCCUACAGGCCAACAUGGCGAGGGGGAAGAAUGGCCGACAACAUUUCCUGCUCUGUGGCUGAGGUCCAGAUCCUUAGCCUGCUGGAAACUAUUAAACACACCCAAGACCAGCUGAUGGCGAAGGUCAACUUCUUAACCAGCAGGUUGACCAUUACCCCGGGGCCAGAAGUUGAAAUGCCGGCCAAUAUCCAGUUUCCACUGAGUUAGUGGAGGCAUUUUUGAAUGCACCAUCAAAUGGCCCAGCUCGAUAAAGAGUGAUUUCUUCUUUGGCCACCAUUGGAGGCCAGGAUGUGAAGCGGGUGACCUGGAACAGCCUGGGCAGGAUGUUCACAGAUGGCGUUUCAGAUCAGAUCAAUUGGAAGGGUGUCAACAACAAAAAGGCCUUUAGCAGAAUGGCAACAAAGACCUUGCUUUUCAAGCCAGAUGAAGUGGUUCAGGCAUCUGGUCCGGAUGCCACCCGGACGCCUCCCUAAGGAGGUGUUUCGGGCCCGUCCGACCGGUAGGAGGCCACGGGGAAGACCCAGGACACGUUGGGAAGACUAUCUUUCCCGGCUGGCCUGGGAACGCCUCGGGAUCCCCCAGGAUGAGCUGGACGAAGUGCCUGGGGAGAGAGAAGUCUGGGCUUCCCUGCUUAGGCUGCUGCCCCCGCGACCCGACCUCGGAUAAGCGGAAGAAGAUGGAUGGAUGGGAUAUUUUGUAUUGUGUGCUGUGAGAAAAAAUGUGGUGACAAGGUCAGCCACGGACGCUGAGGUCACCAAACCCGCCAUCAGGUGGUUCAACCUGGCGGCGGAUCGGGCAACCAGGAGACGAGUCCCGCCUCCACCUCCUCAGGAGGAAUAGAAAU